ACUUGCCCAGGCAGAUGCAGCAUCUUCGACACUUCAACUGUUUGAACGCUGCAGCGGAUCUUUUCAGGGACUGAUUAACACGAUACCCAAGCACUUUUGUUACCUGAGGGUCUUCAAGCUUCAUAUUCAGAGUCAUGAUGAAAGCGAGGUGCAGGCU